rnacentral:rRNA from 1 species
AUGGUGGAUUGUGGUCACGGUUUCAACCCCAAGGAUCCCAUGAAUCUCACUCCAAGAGAAGCGGUUGAUGAUGAACUCAAUGCUACCGCCCACAACAUGUUGCGCACUGCGGUGACCGAUGACUAUAGUGACUCCAUUGCUCUACUCAAGACCGCCAAGGAAAUUUGGGAUUGCCUUGAGGAGGCCCUCGAAGGUGAUGAAGCAAUUCGAAGAUCUCGGUUGGCUUUGCUCAAGCAAGAAGUCAACCUAUUUGUGAGAAAUGAGGGUGAGUCCGCGGAAGAGGUAUAUCGAAGGUUGAAGUCUCUUGUGCUCAAUUUGAGAACCUUUGGGUGCACUUGGGCAAAUGAUGAUUUCAUUAAGGACAAGUUCAUUGAUGCUAUGGUUCUCACGGAACAUACCAUGGUGAUGAUGAUACAUCAACGCCCGGACUAUCAAAAGUUGACCGUGGCACAAGUUGUAUCCACUUUCUCAACUCAUGUUCUUUUGGAGACCAAGUCCAAGAAGACCUUUGCCAUAGCUCAAGCCACCAAGAACUCAAAUCUUGCAUUGAUGGCCAAGAAAGUAGUUGCCCAACCCUCAAGGAUGAAGAAGUUGUUGAAGAGACUUGUGAGGAAGAUGUUGACACCUCAUGCCCGGCAAAUGACUUUGCGGAAGACUUGGCUCUCUUGGUCAAGAAAUAUUCCGGGACCAUGGCAAACAAAGGGAAGAAUCUGCAAGGAAGAUCGUUUGGACGAAGAAAAUGCUACAAUUGUGAUAGCCCAAGACAUUUUGUGCACGAUUGUCCUUAUGAGAGACGUGAAGACAAGUCCGAGAAGCUUGUGCUCAAGAAGAAGAAGUUCACCAAGUUUUCCAAGAGGAAAGAUGACAAGGCUCUUGUUCAUGAGGAGUACAUGUCCGGAGAUGAAGAUGACGGUGAUGAUGAUCAUGUGGGCACGGCCGCCAUUGCCAUGCAUGCCACUACCUCCUCCUCCACCACCGGCCUCUUCGACUCUCCCAACGAGGACAAGCCGUUCACUCAUCAUUGCCUCAUGGCCAAAGAGGUAA